AGGGUUUGAUCCUGGCUCAGAACGAACGCUGGCGGCAGGCCUAACACAUGCAAGUCGAGCGCACCUUCGGGUGAGCGGCGGACGGGUUAGUAACGCGUGGGAAUAUACCCAGUUCUAAGGAAUAGCCUCGGGAAACUGAGAGUAAUACCUUAUACGCCCUUCGGGGGAAAGAUUUAUCGGAAUUGGAUUAGCCCGCGUUAGAUUAGGUAGUUGGUGGGGUAAUGGCCUACCAAGCCUACGAUCUAUAGCUGGUUUGAGAGGAUGAUCAGCAACACUGGGACUGAGACACGGCCCAGACUCCUACGGGAGGCAGCAGUGGGGAAUCUUAGACAAUGGGGGAAACCCUGAUCUAGCCAUGCCGCGUGAGCGACGAAGGCCCUAGGGUCGUAAAGCUCUUUCAACUGUGAAGAUAAUGACGGUAGCAGUAGAAGAAACCCCGGCUAACUCCGUGCCAGCAGCCGCGGUAAUACGGAGGGGGUUAGCGUUGUUCGGAAUUACUGGGCGUAAAGCGCACGUAGGCGGACUAUUAAGUCGAGGGUGAAAUCCCGGGGCUCAACCCCGGAACUGCCUUCGAUACUGGUAGUCUUGAGUUCGAGAGAGGUGAGUGGAAUUCCGAGUGUAGAGGUGAAAUUCGUAGAUAUUCGGAGGAACACCAGUGGCGAAGGCGGCUCACUGGCUCGAUACUGACGCUGAGGUGCGAAAGUGUGGGGAGCAAACAGGAUUAGAUACC
rnacentral:rRNA from 1 species